rnacentral:antisense_RNA from 1 species
CUUCAGGGACCCCAGCCAGAGCGGCCUGCCCUCAGCCCGGUCCUGGCCGUAGGUCGCCAGCAGAGCACCUGCCUC